AUAUCUCUCUGUACGGGAAGGAUGAGAAGCUUCGACCAAGGUUCGAUUCGAGCGCAGCGAGAAAGCGUUGCCGCAGGCAACGACCC
rnacentral:sRNA from 2 species